UAGUUAUGUUCUUUAAACUUAAAGAAUUUGGCGGUAUUUUAUCUAUUCAGAGGAAUUUGCCCAUUAAUCGAUAGUCCUCGUUUUAUCUUACUUAAUUUUGUUUAUCAGUAUGUAUAUCGCUGUUAUAAGUUUAUUUUUUUAGAAUAAGAAUUUACUUUAUUUAUUAUUUUUAUUUAUUUCAAGUCAAGGUGCAGCUAAAUAAUUAAGUAUGUGGUGAAUUACAAUAUUUAUUUGAAUAUACGGAUUUGUUUCUUGAAAUGGGUUUUAAAGGUGGAUUUGUUAGUAAUUUUAAUUAUAAUGUUAUUUUGAUUUUAGCUCUAAAAUAAGUACACAUCGCCCG
rnacentral:rRNA from 1 species